GACGAACGCUGGCGGUGUGCUUAACACAUGCAAGUCGAACGGAAAGGCCCUGCUUUUGUGGGGUGCUCGAGUGGCGAACGGGUGAGUAACACGUGAGUAACCUGCCCUUGACUUUGGGAUAACUUCAGGAAACUGGGGCUAAUACCGGAUAGGAGCUCCUGCUGCAUGGUGGGGGUUGGAAAGUUUCGGCGGUUGGGGAUGGACUCGCGGCUUAUCAGCUUGUUGGUGGGGUAGUGGCUUACCAAGGCUUUGACGGGUAGCCGGCCUGAGAGGGUGACCGGCCACAUUGGGACUGAGAUACGGCCCAGACUCCUACGGGAGGCAGCAGUGGGGAAUAUUGCACAAUGGGCGGAAGCCUGAUGCAGCAACGCCGCGUGCGGGAUGACGGCCUUCGGGUUGUAAACCGCUUUCGCCUGUGACGAAGCGUGAGUGACGGUAAUGGGUAAAGAAGCACCGGCUAACUACGUGCCAGCAGCCGCGGUGAUACGUAGGGUGCGAGCGUUGUCCGGAUUUAUUGGGCGUAAAGGGCUCGUAGGUGGUUGAUCGCGUCGGAAGUGUAAUCUUGGGGCUUAACCCUGAGCGUGCUUUCGAUACGGGUUGACUUGAGGAAGGUAGGGGAGAAUGGAAUUCCUGGUGGAGCGGUGGAAUGCGCAGAUAUCAGGAGGAACACCAGUGGCGAAGGCGGUUCUCUGGGCCUUUCCUGACGCUGAGGAGCGAAAGCGUGGGGAGCGAACAGGCUUAGAUACCCUGGUAGUCCACGCUGUAAACGGUGGGUACUAGGUGUGGGGUCCAUUCCACGGGUUCCGUGCCGUAGCUAACGCUUUAAGUACCCCGCCUGGGGAGUACGGCCGCAAGGCUAAAACUCAAAGGAAUCGACGGGGCCCCGCACAAGCGGCGGAGCAUGCGGAUUAAUUCGAUGCAACGCGUAGAACCUUACCUGGGUUUGACAUGGAUCGGGAGUGCUCAGAGAUGGGUGUGCCUCUUUUGGGGUCGGUUCACAGGUGGUGCAUGGCUGUCGUCAGCUCGUGUCGUGAGAUGUUGGGUUAAGUCCCGCAACGAGCGCAACCCUUGUUCACUGUUGCCAGCACGUUAUGGUGGGGACUCAGUGGAGACCGCCGGGGUCAACUCGGAGGAAGGUGGGGAUGACGUCAAGUCAUCAUGCCCCUUAUGUCCAGGGCUUCACGCAUGCUACAAUGGCUGGUACAGAGAGUGGCGAGCCUGUGAGGGUGAGCGAAUCUCGGAAAGCCGGUCUCAGUUCGGAUUGGGGUCUGCAACUCGACCUCAUGAAGUCGGAGUCGCUAGUAAUCGCAGAUCAGCAACGCUGCGGUGAAUACGUUCCCGGGGCU
rnacentral:rRNA from 1 species